AACGAACGCUGGCGGCGUGCCUAACACAUGUAAGUCGAGCGGGAAAGCCCGCAAGGGUGAGUACAGCGGCGCACGGGUGCGUAACACGUGGGUAAUCUGCCCAGAAGCCCGGAAUAACCUCCCGAAAGGGAAGCUAAUACCGGAUAAGACCACGGGAACCUCGGUUCCUGCGGGAAAAGGUGGCCUCUGCAUGCAAGCUAUCACUUCUGGAUGAGCCCGCGGCCCAGUCAGCUCGUUGGCGGGGUAAUGGCCCACCAAGGCUACGACGGGUAGCGGGGCUGAGAGGACGAUCAGCCACACUGGAAGUGAGACACGGUCCAGACGCCGACGGGAGGCAGCAGUGGGGAAUCUUGCGCAAUGGGCGAAAGCCUGACGCAGCAACGCCGCGUGUGUGAUGAAGGUCUCCGGAUCGUAAAGCACUGUCGGGAGGGACGAAUAAGGGCCGGGUGAAUAAUCCGGUUCGAUGACGGUAUCUCCAAAGGAAGCACCGGCUAACUCUGUGCCAGCCGCCGCAGUAACAC
rnacentral:rRNA from 1 species